GAAAUGCGAUAAGUAGUGUGAAUUGCAGAAUUCAGUGAAUCAUCGAAUCUUUGAACGCACAUUGCGCCCCUCGGUAUUUCGUGGGGCAUGCCUGUUCGAGCGUCAUCUACACCCUCAAGCUCUGCUUGGUGUUGGGCGUCUGUCCCGCCUCCUUCGCGCGCGGACUCGCCCCAAAUCCAUUGGCGGCGGCCCUUGCCUCCCUCUCGCGCAGCACAUUGCGCUUCUCGAGGCGCGGCGGACCGCGUCCAGCAAGCAACCGUCACACCGUCUUUGACCUCGGAUCAGGUAGGGAUACCCGCUGAACUUAAGC
rnacentral:misc_RNA from 1 species